rnacentral:tRNA from 1 species
GGCUCCGUGGUGUAGCGGUUAUCACAUCUGCCUAACACGCCGAAGGUCCCCGGUUCGAUCCCGGGCGGAACCA